rnacentral:rRNA from 1 species
CCCUUAGAUGUUCUGGGCCGCACGCGCGCUACACUGACGAAUGCAACGAGCCUAUAACCUUGGCCGAAAGGUCUGGGUAAUCUCCAAAUUUCGUCGUGAUGGGGAUAGAUUAUUGCAAUUAUUAAUCUUCAACGAGGAAUGCCUAGUAAGCGCAAGCCAUCAGCUUGCGUUGAUUACGUCCCUGCCCUUUGUACACACCGCCCGUCGCUCCUACCGAUUGAAUGGUCCGGUGAAGCGCUCGGACCGCGGCCUCUUGACGGUUCGCUGUCGAUUGGCUGUGGGAAGUUCGUUAAACCUUAUCAUUUAGAGGAAGGAGAAGUCGUAACA